rnacentral:tRNA from 1 species
GCCGCCGUAGCUCAGCCUGGUCAGAGCGCCGGACUCAUAAUCCGGUUGCCCCGGGUUCAAGUCCCGGCGGCGGCA